CCUACGGGGGGCUGCAGUGAGGAAUAUUGGUCAAUGGACGAGAGUCUGAACCAGCCAAGUAGCGUGAAGGAUGACUGCCCUAUGGGUUGUAAACCUCUUUUAUAUGGGAAUAAAAUGUUCCACGUGUGGGAUUUUGUAUGUACCAUAUGAAUAAGGAUCGGCUAACUCCGUGCCAGCAGCCGCGGUAAUACGGAGGAUCCGAGCGUUAUCCGGAUUUAUUGGGUUUAAAGGGAGCGUAGGUGGAUUGUUAAGUCAGUUGUGAAAGUUUGCGGCUCAACCGUAAAAUUGCAGUUGAAACUGGCAGUCGUGAGUACAGUAGAGGUGGGCGGAAUUCGUGGUGUAGCGGUGAAAUGCUUAGAUAUCACGAAGAACUCCGAUUGCGAAGGCAGCUCACUGGACUGCAACUGACACUGAGGCUCGAAAGUGUGGGUAUCAAACAGGAUUAGAUACCCCAGUAGUC
rnacentral:rRNA from 1 species